rnacentral:misc_RNA from 1 species
AAGUCGUAACAAGGUAACCGUAGGUGAACCUGCGGUUGGAUCAUUAAUAAAUUUAUAAAGGUAAAGGGUCUUUACGGACCUUUUUACUCUUUAACAAAUUUGUGAACUUUAUUAAAGUCUUUUGGGAUGAUAGCAAUGUUAUCCCAAAAACCCCCUUUAAACAAUUUUUUAUAUAACAAGUCUUUAAAAACCUUUAAAUUUAAUUUAAAAAACAACUUUUGACAACGGAUCUCUUGGCUCUC